AAAGAAAACUAAACUCCAACCGGGAUGGGGCAUCCCCUCUGAUUACAACAACGAGACAUAGUAGGACUGCAGGAACUUGGAGGCUUGGGAACAUAAUAUGAACUUGUGAAGGUACAAAUGAUUAUACUUGACAUUCAGUUAGUGCACCAAAUAUGCAUAGUACUGUUUAUACUAUAGUGGCCUAGCUUGUAUAAUAAUAUAUAUGUAGGUAUGUAAAAUACUUGUAUAAUUUUGAAAUUGGGUUGGGUAAAAUAAAAAUCCAAGUCAUGCAAUAGUUGGGUAGGGGAAAAAAUGGUUGACCGAAAGGGUGAG